CCCAGACUCCUACGGGAGGCAGCAGUGGGGAAUAUUGGGCAAUGGGCGCAAGCCUGACCCAGCAACGCCGCGUGAAGGAAGAAGGCUUUCGGGUUGUAAACUUCUUUUGACAGGGAAGAGCAGAAGACGGUACCUGUCGAAUAAGCCACGGCUAACUACGUGCCAGCAGCCGCGGUAAUACGUAGGGGGCAAGCGUUAUCCGGAUUUACUGGGUGUAAAGGGUGCGUAGGUGGCAUGGCAAGUCAGAAGUGAAAGCCCGGGGCUCAACCCCGCGGACUGCUUUUGAAACUGUCAGGCUGGAGUACAGGAGAGGUAAGCGGAAUUCCUAGUGUAGCGGUGAAAUGCGUAGAUAUCAGGAGGAAUACCGUUAGCGAAGGCGGCAAUCUGGCUGGAAACUGACGCUGAGGUGCGAAAGCGUGGGUAGCAAACAGGAUUAGAUACCCCCGUA
rnacentral:rRNA from 1 species